AGAAGUUUAGUGUGUGAACAUCGAUGAUUAACGUUAAUCUGUCAUGCGUUCUCUAAACUACCUGCUCGGAGAAACCAGACUGAACACACAGAAAACCCUGGGAGGAGAGAAAUUACCUUUACAACUACCGUGAGAAAUACAUACUAAAAACAGGGAUCUCACUCUGCUGCUUAAGCACACUAGAAUCAAAAGUGAAAGUUAACUUUUGUACAAGGCUCGGUCAUUCCAGAGGAGGGAUUGUCACAAGAACAAAAUGGCUUCCAGAUUAUCUCUCCAAGAGGACGAUCUAUCCUGUGCUGUGUGCUGUGACAUCUUCAAGGAUCCUGUCAUCCUGUCAUGUAGUCACAGCUUCUGUAAAGCCUGUCUGCAGGAAUACUGCAGGGGGAAGGCAGAAAAGGAAUGUCCAGGUAGCAGGAGAAGAUCUUCAAGGGCAGAUCCUCCCUGUAACCUGGUCUUAAAGAACCUGUGUGACGCAUUCUUACAGGAGAGGAGGCGCAGAGUUUCAGGGGAGUCUGAGGAGCGCUGCAAUCUGCACAACGAGAAACUCAAGCUCUUCUGUCUGGAUGAUAAACAGCCCAUCUGUGUGGUGUGUCAGACCUCAAAAAUCCACAAAAAACAUGACUGCUGCCCCAUAGACGAAGCUGCACAGGACCACAGGGAAGAACUCCAGACUGUCCUGAAGCCCUUACAGAAGAAGCUGAAGGGCUUUAAUGAAGUUAAAGAAAUCUGUGAUGAAACAGCAAAGCAUAUUAAAAACAAGGCCCAGAGCACAGAGAUACGGAUGAGAAAGGAAUUUGAGAAGCUCCACCAGUUUCUACGAGAGGAAGAGGAGGUGAGGAUAGCUGUUCUGAGGGAGGAAGAGGAGCAGAAGAGUCAGGUGAUGAAGGAGAAGAUUGAGGAGAUGAGCAGAGAGAUAUCAUCACUUUCAGACACAAUCAGAGCCUUAGAGGAGGAGCUGAGAGCUGAAGACAUCUCAUUCCUGAAGGUCAGCACUGAGAGCUGAAGACAUCUCAUUCCUGAAGGUCAGCACUGAGAGCUGAAGACAUCUCAUUCCUGAAGGUCAGCACUGAGAGCUGAAGACAUCUCAUUCCUGAAGAACUAUAAGGUCACAGUGGUAAGAACCCAGUGCACACUGCCGGAUCCACAGCUGGUCUCAGGAGCACUCAUAGACGUGGCCAAACACCUGGGAAACCUGCAGUUCAGAGUCUGGGAGGAGAUGUAGGGGAUUGUGAAAUUACAAUUCUGUGAUUCUGGACCCCAACACUGCCAACCCAAAUCUCAUCCUGUCUGAGGACCUGACCAGUGCCAUAUACAAUAAAGAGAGAGAGCAGCUUCCUGAAAACCCAGAGUGGUUUAAUUACUAUAAAAUAGUCUUGGGCUCUGAGGGCUUUACCUCAGGGACACACAGCUGGGACGUUGAGGUUGGGUUCAAUACAGCCCUGGGUGUGAUAGCAGAGUCUGUCCAGAGGAAGGUAAAAGUAGAAAGUGGAUUCUGGUGUUUAAGCCUUUGGUGUGUAAGCCCCUGUGAUGCUUAUGGUUAUGAUGUUGAUGGUGAUAUUCGAUAUAAAGUAGAGUCCCCUCCGAGGCCAGACAUCCAGCUCAGAUUGAGAAAGAAACGCCAGAGGAUCAGAGUGCAGCUGGACUGGGACAGAGGGAUGCUGUCAUUCUCUGACCCUGAUAAUAACACAUAUUUAUACACUAUUACACACACUUUCACUGAGAGAGUCUUUCCGUACCUUCUCAAUGAAUGUGCCCUCCAGCCAAUGAGCAUAUUACCAGGGUAGGCCUCUGAUGGUGGAACAGAACACUUAGAGCCUCUGAUGGUGGAACAGAACAUUUAGAGCCUCUGUGGUGGUGGAACAGAACACUUAGAGCCUCUGUGGUGGUGGAACAGAACACUUAGAGCCUCUGAUGGUGGAACAGAACACUUAGAGCCUCUGAUGGUGGAACAGAACACUUAGAGCCUCUGUGAUGGUGGAACAGAACACUUAGAGCCUCUGUGGUGGUGGAACAGAACACUUAGAGCCUCUGAUGGUGGAACAGAACACUUAGAGCCUCUGAUGGUGGAACAGAACACUUAGAGCCUCUGUGAUGGUGGAACAGAACACUUAGAGCCUCUGUGGUGGUGGAACAGAACACUUAGAGCCUCUGAUGGUGGAACAGAACACUUAGAGCCUCUGAUGGUGGAACAGAACACUUAGAGCCUCUGUGGUGGUGGAACAGAACACUUAGAGCCUCUGUGAUGGUGGAACAGAACACUUAAAGCCUCUGUGAUGGUGGAACAGAACACUUAGAGCCUCUGUGGUGGUGGAACAGAACACUUAGAGCCUCUGUGAUGGUGGAACAGAACACUUAGAGCCUCUGUGAUGGUGGAACAGAACACUCAGAGCUUCUGUCUAUAAUGGUGGAACAGAACACUUAGAGCCUCUGUCUAUAAUGGUGGAACAGAACACUUAGAGCCUCUGUCUAUAAUGGUGGAACAGAACACUUAGAGCCUCUGUCUAUAAUGGUGGAACAGAACACUUAGAGCCUCUGUCUGUAAUGGUGGAACAGAACACUUAGAGCCUCUGUCUAUAAUGGUGGAACAGAACACUUAGAGCCUCUGUCUAUAAUGGUGGAACAGAACACUUAGAGCCUCUGUCUAUAAUGGUGGAACAGAACACUUAGAGCCUCUGUCUAUAAUGGUGGAACAGAACACUUAGAGCCUCUGUGAUGGUGGAACAGAACACUUAGAGCCUCUGUCUAUAAUGGUGGAACAGAACACUUAGAGCCUCUGUGAUGGUGGAACAGAACACUUAGAGCCUCUGUCUAUAAUGGUGGAACAGAACACUUAGAGCCUCUGUCUAUAAUGGUGGAACAGAACACUUAGAGCCUCUGUCUAUAAUGGUGGAACAGAACACUUAGAGCCUCUGUCUAUAAUGGUGGAACAGAACACUUAGAGCCUCUGUCUAUAAUGGUGGAACAGAACACUUAGAGCCUCUGUCUAUAAUGGUGGAACAGAACACUUAGAGCCUCUGUCUAUAAUGGUGGAACAGAACACUUAGAGCCUCUGUCUGUAAUGGUGGAACAGAACACUUAGAGCCUCUGUCUAUAAUGGUGGAACAGAACACUUAGAGCCUCUGUCUAUAAUGGUGGAACAGAACACUUAGAGCCUCUGUCUAUAAUGGUGGAACAGAACACUUAGAGCCUCUGUCUAUAAUGGUGGAACAGAACACUUAGAGCCUCUGUGAUGGUGGAACAGAACACUUAGAGCCUCUGUCUAUAAUGGUGGAACAGAACACUUAGAGCCUCUGUGAUGGUGGAACAGAACACUUAGAGCCUCUGUCUAUAAUGGUGGAACAGAACACUUAGAGCCUCUGUCUAUAAUGGUGGAACAGAACACUUAGAGCCUCUGUCUAUAAUGGUGGAACAGAACACUUAGAGCCUCUGUCUAUAAUGGUGGAACAGAACACUUAGAGCCUCUGUCUAUAAUGGUGGAACAGAACACUUAGAGCCUCUGUCUAUAAUGGUGGAACAGAACACUUAGAGCCUCUGUCUAUAAUGGUGGAACAGAACACUUAGAGCCUCUGUCUAUAAUGGUGGAACAGAACACUUAGAGCCUCUGUCUAUAAUGGUGGAACAGAACACUUAGAGCCUCUGUCUAUAAUGGUGGAACAGAACACUUAGAGCCUCUGUCUAUAAGGGUGGAACAGAACACUUAGAGCCUCUGUCUAUAAUGGUGGAACAGAACACUUAGAGCUUAUACUGUAGAAUGUUAUUUGUGUUUCUUGUCUCAGUUAUGAAUUGCUCUAAGCAGAAGGAAGGCAAAGCCUGGGAAGCAGUUAGUUAGGUAAACGCAUUAACUUUGUUACUUUUGAAUGUAGCUGAAGCUCUGGUUAUUUCUAAAUCCAUGAGCCUUGAAAAUUGUUAUACUUUUUACUAUGCGUUGUUUAUUUUGUUUUUAAUAUUAAAUUGUAGAUUUGAAUUGGCUGAAUUGGCUGAAUUCGAAUUUGUGAUAUAAAUCACUCAAUAUAUAGUUUAAAUAUUUUGUAAAAUUAAUUUUAAUAAAAACAUACUGUAUA